ensembl:lncRNA
GACAAGGUGACCAGCGCAUGCGCUAGAGGCCGCCAUGAGGAAGUCGCAUGGAUCCCAGAGUUAGAGGCGGACCUGGAAUUCCAGGACAGCCAGAAACCCUGUCUCCAAAACCAAACCAACCAAACAACCAGCCGACAACAAAGAAGCAUCCUGGUGUGAAGGAAACUGCUUAGGCAGUGACAGGCAGCAUGAAACUGCUUCUGGCUCAAGUCCUGGUGUGGCUGACAAUUAUUGGGACAUACAUGGCUGGUGCAGGCACGACGACAGUUCAAUGGAACUGAAGACCUGGAAAAGAAGGGCGCCGUGGUUUUCUUCAAACCUGCUGAGUCAUCUGACCCCAUGUCUUCCGUCUCCACCAUCUGAGCGCUGCCAAGCCUGCCUGGCUGAUUUCCUUUCAACUGAUCUUUCUCCGGUGCUCAGGAACUACUCCGAUAGA